ACAACGGUUCUUUUAAGAGCCACACACUCCGACCACAGAGCAAAG
rfam:Larimichthys crocea isolate SSNF unplaced genomic scaffold scaffold14, whole genome shotgun sequence.